rnacentral:tRNA from 1 species
GUGGGUGUGGCUCAAGUGGUGGAGCGCCUGCUCAGCAUCCACAAGGUCCUGGGUUCAAUCCCCAGCACCUCCU